GAAAAUUCAUAGAGAAGAUUCUCUCUGUGGGUUUUCUUCUAUCUAAGACUCUACGUCUUCUUCCUGCCUCCAGUUGAGGCUUCCCAUUCCCCUAUAGAUAAGGGGGGCUACGUCCCAGCCUGGCCGUUGAUUUCUCACCACCACCCCUCCCCCAACCACCUGGUUAGGGUGUAAAUAAACUUUGAGUAGCUUUUUCGUGGAUUUGCAAAUAAAGUUGUUGAUGGUGGGGUGGUUUCUGGUAAUCUUAGGUUGUUUACGCUCCUUGUUGCCUAGAUUUUGUGUGAGGCUCAAUGGAGGGUUCUUGCUGGUUUUUUAUGGUGGCAUCUCUGGGGCCUUUGUGUAGACUCAGGAUCCGACGACAAAUCCUCCAAGCUAUAUGAGAAUGAGAAGCUGUGGGGCUCUGCCACCAUCCCCUCCAAGGCUGCCUGUGGUUCUUAUAGUUGUUUCUAAGGCUUAAGCUUCCGACUUGUUUGGGUCCAUCGUUGAAGAUUUGAGUUUGUUGGUAUCUUCGAAUUAAGGUGUUGGUAUCUCAAUCUAUUUGAAUAAAAGUGAAUAAGGGGUAAAUAAAGAUAAGAAAUGGUAAGUGAAUUAUUAUUUUACCUUUUUUUAAAUAUAAAAUUUUUUUCAUUGUAAACCUAAGCUCUUCCCUCUCUUUAUUCUCUCUUAUCAUUUUCUCACCCUAUCCAAACAGAAGUGUUGGCCGGGGUGGCGGCCUGCAUAGGAUUGGGUGCUACUAUUAUUGCAUCUAUGGUUUCUUGUGUGUUAGAGCUCAGAUGCACUAUUGAUGUUCGGCUGAGUACUCUUGGGCUUAGGUUGUUUCUUUGAUGGCCUGUCAUGGGGCUCUUAUUUUAAGGGCUUUGCUGUAAUCUGAGCUUAUUGCUGGGCUUUUUAGUUAUUCUUGCCGUUUUGCUGGAGGGCGC
rnacentral:misc_RNA from 1 species